rnacentral:snRNA from 1 species
UUACUUACCUGGAUGGGGUCAAUGGCUGAUCAUGAAGGCCCAUGGCCUAGGUUGGUGGUCUCCAUUGCACUUUGGAGGGGUGCCAGCCUAAGGUCUACCCAAGUGGUGGAUCCUACAUCAUUAUUUGUUGCAGUGGGGGCUUGCGUUCGCGCAGCCCCUUC